rnacentral:misc_RNA from 1 species
AAUACUAACAGCUGUAUACUGAACCAGGGUCAUCAGUUGCUCCAUCAUCAACUCAGCUUCUUCCUUCAAUUGUCUCUGAGGGGUAGGCUCCCUCCUAUAUUUCUCAAAGAAGCGGUCCAAGUUGUGCCAUUGUGGAUCUUUACAUUGACUUCCAAAUCGAACUACUUCUCCAGCAAAAACCUGCAGUUCUUUCCUCUUAUCAUCAGCAACUAUACUUAGAAGUUCAUCCAUAUCAUUUGAUACUAGCAGUUGCACACUUUCUGAAGGUAGCACCACGUCUUUCAACUGUCGGAUGCUUCUUCUCGAAAGUGAAUGCAUAAGAUUAGAGCCUUUAACAAUGGUGUUUGCAACCUCAAAUGACAAAAUAGAUAGCUCAUUUCCUUUAAUUGUUGCACCAGAAACAAAUCCAUUGCUUAAAUUCAAAUUGGUCAAGCUGCUCCCAAUGGUGUCCAAUGCUUG